UAAAAAAUAAAAAAAAGGUCGAGUAUCUUUUGGGUGGUCGACUCGCGGACGAUCAGAUUGUUUUUGUCUGAACCAUGAGUCAAGUAUUCCACUAUACAAUGGUUAGAUAAUGUGGUAGAUUGAUUCAAAGGACGUUUAAAGCAUGACACUUUUGGAAGCACAACAGAAAGACCGGAAAUUGGGCGAAAAAACCCUAAAUUUCGGUAUUAUG
rnacentral:lncRNA from 1 species